rnacentral:rRNA from 1 species
AUUGAACGCUGGCGGCAGGACUAACACAUGCAAGUCGAACGAGUGGCGGACGGGUGCGUAAUGUCUGGGAAACUGCCUGAUGGAGGGGGAUAACUACUGGAAACGGUAGCUAAUACCGCAUACCAUCAGAUGUGCCCAGAUGGGGUUAGCUUGUUGUUGGGGUAACGGCUCACCAAGGCGACGAUCCCUAGCUGGUCUGAGAGGAUGACCGGCCACACUGAAACUGAGACACGGUCCCGAGUCCUACGGGAGGCAGCAGUGGGGAAUGUUGCACCAUGGGCGCAAGCCUGAUGCAGCCAUGCCGCGUGUAUGAAGAAGGCCUUCGGGUUGUAAAGUACUUUCAGCGGGGAGGCGUUACCCGCAGAAGAAGCACCGGCUAACUCCGUGCCAGCCGCCGCGGUAAUUC